UACGGAGGUUGCGAGCGUUGUUCGGAAUAACUGGGCGUAAAGGGAGCGCAGGCGGUUUGGUAAGUCCAAAGUGAAAGCCCGGGGCUCAACCCCGGAAGUGCUUCGGAUACUGCCUUACUUGAGUUCGUGAGAGGAAAGCGGAAUUCCAGGUGUAGCGGUGAAAUGCGUAGAUAUCUGGAGGAACACCGGUGGCGAAAGCGGCUUUCUGGCACGAUACUGACGCUGAGGCUCGAAAGCGUGGGGAGCAAACGGG
rnacentral:rRNA from 1 species